rnacentral:tRNA from 9 species
GCGCCUGUAGCUCAGGGGAUAGAGCACCGGCCUCCGGAGCCGGGUGCGGAGGUUCGAUUCCUCCCAGGCGCGCCA